rnacentral:rRNA from 1 species
UUCUGGGGGGCACCUGAUCUAGCCAUGCCGCGUGAGUGAUGAAGGCCUUCGGGUUGUAAAGCUCUUUCAGCUGGGAAGAUAAUGACGGUACCAACAGAAGAAGCCCCGGCUAACUCCUUGCCAGCAGCCGCGGUAAUACGGAGGGGGCUAGCGUUGUUCGGAAUUACUGGGCGUAAAGCGCACGUAAGCUGACCGGAAAAUUGGGGGUGAAAUCCCGGGGCUCAACCCCGGAACUGCCUUCAAAACUAUCCCUCUGGAGUUCGAUAGAGGUGGGUGGAAUUCCGAGUGGUGAGGUGAAAUUCGUAGAUAUUCGGAGGAACACCAGUGGCGAAGGCGGCUCACUGGCUCGAUACUGACGCUGAGGUGCGAAAGCAUGGGGAGCAAACAGGAUUAAAUACCCUGGUAGUCCACGCCGUAAAAGAUGAAUGCCAGUCGUCGGGCAGCAUGCUGUUCGGUGACACACCUAACGGAUUAAGCAUUCCGCCUGGGGAGUACGGUCGCAAGAUUAAAACUCAAAGGAAUUGACGGGGG